UACGGGGGGGGCAAGCGUUGUUCGGAAUUACUGGGCGUAAAGGGCUCGUAGGCGGCCAACUAAGUCAGACGUGAAAUCCCUCGGCUUAACCGGGGAACUGCGUCUGAUACUGGAUGGCUUGAAUCCGGGAGAGGGAUGCGGAAUUCCAGGUGUAGCGGUGAAAUGCGUAGAUAUGUGGAGGAACACCGAUGGCGAAGGCAGCCCCCUGGGUCAAAACUGACGCUCAUGCACGAAAGCGUGGGGAGCAAACAGG
rnacentral:rRNA from 1 species